rnacentral:rRNA from 1 species
AUUCGCCCUUGAGAAGUCGUAACAAGGUUUCCGUAGGUGACCUGCGGAAGGAUCAUUC